UAACUGAAAAUUCUUAAAGUAU
rnacentral:miRNA from 1 species